UACGUAGGGUGCAAGCGUUGUCCGGAAUUAUUGGGCGUAAAGAGCUCGUAGGCGGUCUGUUGCGUCGGCUGUGAAAACCCGGGGCUCAACUCCGGGCCUGCAGCCGAUACGGGCAGACUAGAGUUCGGCAGGGGAGACUGGAAUUCCUGGUGUAGCGGUGAAAUGCGCAGAUAUCAGGAGGAACACCGGUGGCGAAGGCGGUUCUCUGGGCAUUACCUGACGUGAGGAGCGAAAGUGUGGGGAGCGAACGGG
rnacentral:rRNA from 1 species